CGUUCGACCAUUCUGUUGAGGGACGUUACAAGGGUAGGUUCGUGCUUGUGGCGCGUGUGAAUCUUACAGACGCCAAGCCAAAUAUUUUCAAGUCAGACAUUUUGCACCAAAACAAUACUUUAGGUUGUGAAGAGAAGAUUGACAUUGCAGGAAUCUGACAGUUUGACAUCGUGUUAGUGUUGUCGUGUGUGUUUCAACCUGAAAUUCAGUGUCAUUGCCUUUGAAAACGUUGGAUAAGUGUUUGCCAAUAGAAGAGUGACGCCGCCUGGAAAGUUCCGCAACGACACCGUCGCACAUUUUUGCAAUGGGCAGUCGUCGUUUCUUCUCGCCAUAGUUUUGUGAAAGAUUUGAACAAGAGAGAAGAUGGAUCCAGAAUCGGCUCUUGGACAGUUGCUGCAGGCUGCCAUGCUUGUUGGUGCUGGAUCAACACGUCUGAAUACGACUCCGAUUGUUCCCGGAAUGAAAACGGAAUUUCCAGGACCUCCACCCGUGUACGAUGGGCAUGGUUUCGGCCCGCCCGUCAUCCUGGAUUUGUCUCCCCGUGGUGUCGACCACCUUCCAUCCAUCCAGUCGCCUUACACUCCUGUGACGGUAGACGGAGAAAGUGGAGGAGAGAUGGAGACGCGAGUCAAACGCGAAGUCAAGACGGAAUCACCGGAUUUCGCCGCCGGUGAUGACGAGAGUGAAGAUGACGACCAAGUGGAUAGCGGCGAACUAGAGGACGAAAUGGGGGGAGGAUGUAGCCGGACUAUGGGACGGAUGCCGGAGGCGAGUCUCCUCAAAUGGCAUCAGAGGAGGCGAAAACAGCAGGAGGAGCAAUUGCAAGUCAUGCAGUCGGCUUCGGCGAUGACAUUGGACGGCUCUGUGCUAUCACCACCUUGUGAUCUCGAUCCCGCCGCUCCUGUUCCUAAGCGGAAAACUCUGAUCCAUCCGCAGCGCAAACAUAACGCAACAGCCUCCGCUUCAUCGAAUGUCGCCAUUCCCGUUGGCAUUGCCGUCGCCAGGCAGCGCAGGGACAAAUGUCGGUCCGAUACGCCCAUGCCGCCCGUCCAGCCGAAAGCCAGACGUGCCGCUCAGUCCAGUCCUGUUUCUUACCCCACGGAUUCCAUGUGCAUGUCGAAUCCGUCGAUUGGGGCCACUGAUCAACAUCCGUUUAACAGCCCUUCUUCACUAGCUGGCCUAAGUGCAAAUUAUCCGGGCGGAAGAGCCGUUUAUAAUCCAACGGCCCUUUACGCUGGUCAUCCGACACCCAUUGCCGCCAACGCUGCCAAUUGGGCUUGGCCGAACGCGGCGGACUACAGUGCCGCCGCCGCAGCUCACUCGCUAUGGUCGGCGACGGAUGUGAACUCCAUCAUGCGCUAUUCCACUUAUCCUCCUAGCGCACAGGCAUCUAACGUCUCUUCAUCCCUCCUUCAUCAGCAUCAUCAUCCGGUCGGUGGAAUGACUCCUCCGCCAUUUCUGCUGAUUCCGACCGCCUGCCUCGAUCCCUAUCAACGAGCGGCCACAGUUUAUUGGCAGAGCUAUGCCGCACCGGCUCAGUCGCCUUGGGGUCUCCCGCCAGAUAUGGCAGCGUCUCCGACAGCUUCAUGGGCUCUCCAUCCACCGGUCAGAUCGGCUUUUGAAUUGCCGAAUCUUCGAGCUGACGUCACGCCGUACGAGGACCCUACGACCCACGCAUCCAAGCCGGCAUGCGUCAUAAGCAGUCCUCCGCCCGCCAUGGCAGAAAUUAAGGAAGAGCGAAUCAGUCCAGAACCGCCUAGCCAUGUUGCGGAGAAAGUGGAACCUUCGAUCCCGUUGGAAAGGGCCCAGCCGCUAGAUUCCAGCACAGCGACGGAGCCGGCGAGCAUCCGAGUCAGAGACAACCUCACAAUCGGAUGGGUCAGUCGGGAUCCGUCCAUCCGAUCUCCCUCUACGUCAUUCGAUGAUGAAAAUGUCCCGCGUUCAUUAUCGACGGGUCACGGCGACAGUCCAGCGCCGGUGGCGGAUUAUUCCGGAUUGCAGCUCUUAUCGGAUAGUAUCGAACAAUUCGUGUCGGCCGAUCAGUCCGUUCAAUUGGCGAAUGAGCCGCAAACGAAAGAGGAGCAGCCUUGCAACGACAACGUGAGCGCGGUGGAAAUGGCCGGAAACGCGUUGGAUGUCUUGUGCGCGGCCGCUUUGUACCAGCAGUCAGAUUCGCCUCAAUCGAGCGAACCGAGAGACAUUUCACCGGCCACGUCAUGCCCACGCCCAACCGGAUUUCAAGUGGAAUUCGACUUCCGUUCCAAACUGGCCGAGUUGCAGCGCAAGUACAAAGAGAAACAAAAGGAGCUGAGUAGUCUGAAAUUCAAAAAGAAGUCGGACAAGAAGAAGAAGAAGAAGAAACGAUCCAGCUCGGACAAAGAGGACAAAGCUGGUCGUAGACGGAACAGUAGCAGCAGCAGCAGCCGGGACGGUAGCCACCAUUCGGCAACUAAGCAACAAGAGCAGUCAAGCGAGUCGGGCAAAAUCGUUUCGGCGCCAGUCGACUUUAUCGUCCCCGGUCGUUUAGACUUGCCUUCUUCUACGCAUCGCUCCGCGGGUGUUGAGGUGGAAUUGCCGAGGAUUCCGACUUCGUACGCUGCCGCUUUGGCGUCCGCUGCGACAUCUAUGGCUCCAUCCGUACCGGCCAGCGAGACAACCACGGUAGAGAAAAAGAAACGCAAGCCGGAUUGCCCUGUGCGCAAACAAGAUUCCGAGUUGACUGAAACGAUCGUGCCCAGCAAGAAGCGCAAAUUCUUCCAACUGUUGCAGUGGUGCCAUUCGGCUGAUGCGACCAGUAAAAAGAACAAAAAAAAGAAUUCUUCGGGACACGAUGCGAAGAGUCCCAUCAAACCAAAAAUUAAACCCAAGCUUAAAGCCGAAGUCCAGGUGAAGCAGCUGAACAGCAGCAGCAGCGAGGAAAGUGAAGAAGAAUUGAAAGCAGGCGAAGAAGACAUGCCGGAGGAAGACAGCGACCGACUGGAACGACAUUGUUUGCCAGCUUUGCAAUUUCUCCAAUUGAGCGAUGAUAGCGGUGCGGAAAUGGAUACCAUCCCUGUGGCUUCUCCUCCUCCGCCGGCUCCAAGUCCUCCACCGGCUCCAAGUCCUCCGCCACCUGUGCCGCCUACACCUCCACCUUUAGUGGCAGAACCGGUGAUUGAGAUCCCAGUGAUCGAUCCCGAACCUAAAAUAAGUGAUCCGGAACCGAGUGAUCCGGAACCGAGUGAUAGCACCACCACCACCACCACUAUCAAGUCGCCAUGGUUACUGACGCAAGAUCUACUACAAGAUGGACUACGCGUGCUGAUAGCGGAGGAGGGACUGUUCCAUGGUGGCUCCGUAUCGGGCAUCCGGCCACCCGACAUUUAUGGUGUCGUCGUAGAUGGCGAACGUGGCAGCCGGCCCAGGAUUCUUUCGACGGAAGAACUCCUCCACGAAGCAUUGUUGGAAGUUUGUCCGCUCGGCCUAAGUCAAUUGCAGGUCGGGACGCGUGUUUGUGGCUAUUGGAGCCGCAAGUCACGCUGCCUCUAUCCCGGCGUAGUUUCCAACGUUCAUCCGGCAGGUCCACCGAACAACGCCGGCAGCCGUAGUGUCACGCGCGAGGACGAGAUCGAUGUCGAGUUUGACGACGGCGACAGCGGCCGUAUUCCCGUCAGUCAAAUUAGACUCCUUCCGCCAGAUUAUCCCGUAUUAGAAAGGGAUCCAAAUCCAUUGUUGAAGAUUGAAAGCCGACGCCACAAGAGGCGCAUUUCCGAGCCGGCUCCGAUUCCUGUAGCGGCUGUCAAACCGUCGGUUCACCAAGAGCCAGCAGAAGGGGUUGCGGAAGAGGUGGACGGGCCGGCGGAGAAGAAGAACAAAAAGGCGGAAGGUGACGAGUCCAAAGAAAACAACGACGAUGGUAACGCCCUAUUAAAAAAGUGUAGAAAGAACAAGAAACACAAGAAGAAGCACAAGAAAAAGCGCAAAGCCGAAACGUCGGAUGAGACGCUGGCGGAGCAGCCGGAUUUGAUCAUUCCAAUCAGUCCCGGAUUGACGAUCGAUCACGCCGUCGAGAGUGCUGUGGCCAACGACAGCGAGCCAAUCGUCAAAAUGGAAACGAGGGCCAGCAAAGAAGCGGUGAACUACUCUGCUUCGCCGAUUCCUCGCCGGUCGGCAGCAGCCAAGACGAAAUCUCCAGAGCCCCAGCAGCAGGUCGAGCAGCAGCAGCAGCCGCAGCCGCGCAAAGCCAACAAAAGCAAAAUGGCAGCUUUCCUUCCGGAACGGCAGUUGUGGCAGUGGUUGGGCGCCAGUUUCAAGAAGGCAUCCAAAGGCAAAGGACGCAAGGAGUUUUACAAAGCCAUCCAUCGUGGAGACGAAAUCAUCCGCGUGGGUGAUUGCGCCGUGUUCUUAUCGGCCGGUAGGCCUGAUCGUCCCUAUGUCGGCCGUAUCGAGCUUCUCUGGCAAUCGUGGGGUGGUUCCAUGACAGUUAAAGUCCGCUGGUUCUAUCACCCGGAAGAGACUUGCGGAGGACGGCGAUUGACUCACCUCAAGAUUCCGGGUGCGUUGUUUGAGUCAAACCACGUCGACGAGAAUGACGUCCAGACGAUCUCACAUUGCUGUACCGUCUGUUCGCUGGACGACUACCGCCUACUCUGCAAAGGCAAGCCUGACGUCAACUUAAAUUUGGACUCCACCAAUAAUUCUGGCUACGACCAAUUCUACCUGGCCGGUUUUUAUGAUCCUACAUCCGGCCAUUUGAGCUUCGAGUCAGACGUUCUGGAACAGCAGCAGCAGCAACAGCAGUAGUCCUGAGCAGUACAUAGUCUUGUCUCUUAAACAUUUUCUCGCAAUUGUUAUCCGGUGAAGGUUAAAAGCGUCUGUAGUGCAAUACCGUUUCACAGAGCAUGUCCCUCUUUUCUGGUUAUCCCCGGCAGCCUUAUAGCACCUGACGUGUCUCCGCUUCAAGGUCCAUGUAGAAACCUACCCGCGUGACAUCAAGAAAAAACAAACAACAACAUAAAAAAAAAAGGACGCCUCUACAUUUAGUCUGGUUUACAUGUGAUACUUAUCCAACAAUUUCUUGGCUUCUAUAUAUUAUUAUAUACAGUCCAUAUAAUAUGAUACAUAAUCAUAACUAUGUCAAAUGUAAAUAAGUGAAAAGUGUAUCUAUUUUGAAAAUUCUAACUUGCAAACCAAUCAAUAACUGUUUGGGCAAUUACUCCGGCAAUGAAAACAAAAACAAACAAACAAAAAAAUAAUAAUGUAAAACUAAGAAGUACCUGUUGCAACGCUUUUCGUACGCAAUUGAACCUGAUUGCGUGCCCUAAAGAAUGUCCUGAUUUCUUCAUUGUUUGUUAUUGUGUACCGUAUCGAUGCACGUUAGCCAUGUGUACCUUUGACGGCGCAUCGUAUUUAAAUUUGGACAAUAUGACUUGGUUGAUCCUACGUAGUUGGAAAGCCAAACCAAUCGUUGUCGUUGUUUGUUUUAACAACAAGUUGCGAUAGAUCCAAUCGUUGUUUCGGAAUAUUCGUCUGAUUUUUUUAAAAUCCAUUGUGUGUAAUUAUGGAUUUUUAUGAUUAAAUUGCUUUGCCGAUCCAAA
rnacentral:misc_RNA from 1 species